rnacentral:rRNA from 1 species
GAUGAACGCUAGCGAUAGGCUUAACACAUGCAAGUCGAGGGGCAGCAUGGUCUUAGCUUGCUAAGACUGAUGGCGACCGGCGCACGGGUGCGUAACGCGUAUGCAACUUGCCUCACAGAGGGGGAUAACCCGUCGAAAGACGGACUAAUACCGCGUACACUCCAUCUUGGGCAUCCAAGGUAGAGGAAAUGAAAUUCGCUGUGAGAUAGGCAUGCGUCCCAUUAGCUAGUUGGUGAGGUAACGGCUCACCAAGGCGACGAUGGGUAGGGGAACUGAGAGGUUGAACCCCCACACUGGUACUGAGACACGGACCAGACUCCUACGGGAGGCAGCAGUGAGGAAUAUUGGUCAAUGGGCGAGAGCCUGAACCAGCCAAGUCGCGUGAAGGAUGACUGUCUUAUGGAUUGUAAACUUCUUUUAGACGGGAAUAACAAGAGUCACGUGUGACUCCCUGCAUGUACCGUAUGAAUAAGCAUCGGCUAACUCCGUG